rnacentral:rRNA from 1 species
GAUGAACGCUGGCGGCGUGCUUAACACAUGCAAGUCGAACGGAAAGGCCACAGCUUGCUGUGGUACUCGAGUGGCGAACGGGUGAGUAACACGUGGGUGAUCUGCCCUGUACUUCGGGAUAAGCUUGGGAAACUGGGUCUAAUACCGGAUAGGAAUCACAUGUGGGUGUGUGGUUGGAAAGCUUUUGCGGUAUGGGAUGAGCUCGCGGCCUAUCAGCUUGUUGGUGGGGUAAUGGCCUACCAAGGCGUCGACGGGUAGCCGGCCUGAGAGGGUGUACGGCCACAUUGGGACUGAGAUACGGCCCAGACUCCUACGGGAGGCAGCAGUGGGGAAUAUUGCACAAUGGGCGCAAGCCUGAUGCAGCGACGCCGCGUGGGGGAUGACGGCCUUCGGGUUGUAAACUCCUUUCGUCAGGGACGAAGCGAAAGUGACGGUACCUGGAUAAGAAGCACCGGCUAACUACGUGCCAGCAGCCGCGGUAAUACGUAGGGUGCGAGCGUUGUCCGGAAUUACUGGGCGUAAAGAGCUCGUAGGUGGUUUGUCGCGUCGUUUGUGUAAGUCCACGGCUUAACUGUGGGAUGGCAGGCGAUACGGGCAUAACUUGAGUGCUGUAGGGGAGACUGGAAUUCCUGGUGUAGCGGUGAAAUGCGCAGAUAUCAGGAGGAACACCGAUGGCGAAGGCAGGUCUCUGGGCAGUAACUGACGCUGAGGAGCGAAAGCAUGGGUAGCGAACAGGAUUAGAUACCCUGGUAGUCCAUGCCGUAAACGGUGGGCGCUAGGUGUGAGUCCCUUCCACGGGGUUCGUGCCGUAGCUAACGCAUUAAGCGCCCCGCCUGGGGAGUACGGCCGCAAGGCUAAAACUCAAAGGAAUUGACGGGGGCCCGCACAAGCGGCGGAGCAUGUGGAUUAAUUCGAUGCAACGCGAAGAACCUUACCUGGGCUUGACAUACACCAGAUCGGCGCAGAGAUGCGUUUUCCCUUGUGGUUGGUGUACAGGUGGUGCAUGGUUGUCGUCAGCUCGUGUCGUGAGAUGUUGGGUUAAGUCCCGCAACGAGCGCAAC